AUGAAAGGAAUCAUCUGGAAUAUUAGGGGUUUCGGGCAGCAAGAUAGGAGGAGGCAGCUCAUCGAGUACAUCCGCGAUCAAAGGCUAGAUUUUGUGGGUCUUCAGGAAAUGAUCCGUGCGUCCUUCUCGCAGGUGGAGUUGGAUUCCCUGGCCGGUGUGGUGCCAUUUCACUGGGAAUGGGCUCCGACGGCUGGCCAAUCUGGUGGGAUCUUGGUGGGCGUAAAUAAAGAUACUUUUGAGGUGGUGUCAUUCUCCAGAGGAGAGUUCUUUGUGGGGGUGGAGAUGAUUCAGAGAAACAAUAAUUUCCGGUGGGAAUUGUUAGUGGUCUACGGACCGACCGAUCAUGCGAGAUCGUAUGAUUUCCUGCGCGAGAUUUAUGACAAGAUUCAUUCAGCACAUUGGCCAGUGGUGGUAGGGGGGAUUUUAAUCUAA
rnacentral:rRNA from 1 species